rnacentral:ncRNA from 1 species
AUAUAAAGUAUAAUUAUUAUUUUUUAGAUUUAUAGUUUAUUUUAAUUUUAUAGUAUAUAAUUUUUAAAAAUUUAAGAAAUUUAAUUUAAAUAGUAAAAUUUAUUUAUUAAUAAAAUUUUGUGCCAGCAAUUGCGGUUAAACAAAAAAUAAAUUUAAAUUAUUUAAAAAUAAAAAUAUAUAAAGUUUGAAUAUUAAUUUUUAAUUAUAAAAUAUUAAAGUAGAAUUUUAUUUUAUAAUUUAAUAAUUAAAUUUUGAUUAUAAAAUUUAAAAAGAUUUAAAAAUAAACUAGGAUUAGAUACCCUAUUAUUAAAAUUUAAAUGGAUAAUUAUUUAAGUAUUUAAAGUUAUAUAAUUAUAUAAAACUUAAGAAAGAUGGCAGUAUUUUAAUCAAUUUAGAGGAACUUGUAUAAUAAUUGAUAAUCCACGAUUAAUUUGACUUAAAUUAAAAAUUUGUAUAUCGUUGUAAAAAAAAAUAUUUAAUUAAAAAUAAGAAUAUUUAAUUGUUUUUAAAGAAAAAUAUUUCAAAUCAAGGUGCAGUUUAUAUUUAGAGAAUGUUAUGAGUUACAGUAAGUUUAUUUGUGAAAUUUAAUUUGGAAUAAUUUGAAGGAAAAUGGAUUUAAAAGUAAUUUAAAAGAUAUAUUUUAAAUGAUUAUAGUUUUAAAAUAUGUACAUAUUGCCCGUCACUUUCAAAAAUAAAAUAAAAAAUUAUUUUAUUUUUGAAAUAAGUCGUAACAAAGUAAAAAUAUAGGAAUAUGUUUUUAGAA